ensembl:misc_RNA 7SK 7SK RNA
GCCUAGGGUGAUCUGGCUGCAAAAUCUGUCACCCCAUUGAUUGCCAGGGUUGAUUCCACUGAUCUGGCUGGCUAGGCGGGUGCCCCCUUCCUCCCUCACGGCUUAUGUAUGUGUGUCCUUCUUGAAACUGCAUGCUAGGUGGAAGAGAACAACCUUCCCUGAAUAGAGAAGGACCAGUCUUUGGUCAAGCGAAUUAGAGAAGCUGCGCUCCCCUGCUAGAACCCCCAAACAAGCUCUCAAGUUUAAAGCUUCUUAAAAGCUAAAAAAAAAAAAAAAAAAAACCCUAAUUGCAUGG